GAUGAACGCUGGCGGCGUGCCUAAUACAUGCAAGUCGAACGCAGCAUUCAGGACAGAUUACUUCGGUUUGUAGUUCUUUAUGACUGCGUGGCGGACGGUUGCGUAACGCUUGGGUAACCUGCCUUGGACUGGGGGAUAGCAGCUGGAAACGGCUGGUAAUACCGCAUAAGCUCCCAAUGGUCCAUGACAUGGUGUGAAAAAGUCCGGGGGUAUAAGUUGGACACCCGCCUGAUUUUCUCGUUGGUGUGAUAACAGCCCACCAAGGCGACGAUCAGUAGACGACCUGAGAGAGUGACCGGCCACAUUGGGACUGGGACACAGCCCAGACUCCUACGGGAGGCAGGAAUGGGGAAUAUUGCACAAUGGAGGAAGCGCUGAUGCAGCGCGGCCGCGUGAGUGAAGAAGUAAUUCGUUAUGUAGAGCUCUAUCAGCAGGGAGGAUAGUGACGGUACCUGACUAGAAAGCUCCGGCUAAAUACGUG
rnacentral:rRNA from 1 species